CCUACGGGAGGCAGCAGUGAGGAAUAUUGGUCAAUGGACGAGAGUCUGAACCAGCCAAGUCGCGUGAAGGAAGACGGCCCUACGGGUUGUAAACUUCUUUUAUCAGGGAGUAAAACGCGGGACGUGUCCCUUUUUGCAUGUACCUUAUGAAUAAGGAUCGGCCAACUCCGUGCCAACCGCCGCGGUAAUACGGAGGAUUCGAGCGUUAUCCGGGUUUGUUGGGGUUAAAGGGAGCGGAGAGUGGUGGUUAAGUCAUGUGUGAAAGUUUGGGGCUCAACCCUACAACUGCCGUUGAUACUGGCAGCCGUGAGUACGGUAGAGGUAGGCGGAAUGCGUGGUGUAGCGGUGAAAUGCAUAGAUAUCACGCAGAACCCCGAUUGCGAAGGCAGCUUACU
rnacentral:rRNA from 1 species